rnacentral:rRNA from 1 species
UACGUAGGGGGCAAGCGUUGUCCGGAAUUAUUGGGCGUAAAGCGCGCGCAGGCGGUCAAUUAAGUUGGGUGUUUAAGCCCGGGGCUCAACCCCGGUUCGCAUCCAAAACUGGUUGACUUGAGUGUAGGAGAGGAAAGUGGAAUUCCACGUGUAGCGGUGAAAUGCGUAGAGAUGUGGAGGAACACCAGUGGCGAAGGCGGCUACCUGGACCGGUUCUGACGCUGAGGCGCGAAAGCGUGGGUAGCAAACAGG